rnacentral:rRNA from 1 species
GACGAACGCUGGCGGCGUGCUUAACACAUGCAAGUCGAACGUGAUUUUUGUGGAAAUUCUUUCGGGAAUGGAAAUGAAAUGAAAGUGGCGAACGGGUGAGUAACACGUGAGCAACCUACCUUACACAGGGGGAUAGCCGUUGGAAACGACGAUUAAUACCGCAUGAGACCACAGAAUCGCAUGAUAUAGGGGUCAAAGAUUUAUCGGUGUAAGAAGGGCUCGCGUCUGAUUAGCUAGUUGGAAGGGUAAAGGCCUACCAAGGCGACGAUCAGUAGCCGGUCUGAGAGGCUGAGCGGCCACAUUGGAACUGAGACACGGUCCAAACUCCUACGGGAGGCAGCAGUGGAGAAUAUUGCACAAUGGGGGGAACCCUGAUGCAGCGACGCCGCGUGAGCGAAGAAGGUUUUCGAAUCGUAAAGCUCUGUCCUAUGAGAAGAUAAUGACGGUAUCAUAGGAGGAAGCCCCGGCUAAAUACGUG